AAAUGCAGCUUCCUCUCCAAUCCCGUCGCUCCCUCUCCCCUUCCAAUCCCGCAGAUGCAGCCGCCGCCUCCCUAGCUCCCUCUCCCUGCUGCCGCUCUCCUCCUCCUACGCCUCCUCUCCCAAUUCCCUUCUGCACGGGCGACGGGCGGCGCGGCCGACCUCGGCGCGGGAGACCUCCGCAGGAGCCGGCAUGAGAGAGGUGGUUGGUGUUGCAGCUCAGCUCUGACUAGAACGUCUGCGCUCGCCACGGAGUUCGUCGGCUUCGGCAAGGCAAGGAUGUGGGCGACGGGCGUAGCCGUCCUUAGCGGCACGCUGGCCACGGCGGUGAACAAGGUAGAGCACGAAUUUUCCUGCCCUCUCGCGGAAUCUUGAGCUGGGGUUUGUGGGCGCAGCAAAUUCUUGAGUCCACGCCAUGAAAUCGAGAGGUGGUGGGGAGCGCAAUAGAUGGGGCGGAGACUCAUCGGACUCCGAUGACAGAGGGAACGUCGGCGGCGAGCUCCGUAUCAGGCCCUGGAGCGCACCCUCCAGGAGCAGCCUCUGGACUACGACUCCCACAUCCAGGUAUGCAUUCUAGGUUUUUGUUUCAGGGCGUGGUUUUACUGAGGUGGAUCUUUGUGGCGUUGGUUUUGCCAUUGGAAUUUCUUGCUUGCUGUUUUAUGUGUAGUGCAUGACAUAUGCUCGAUGAAAUGCCUCUGAGAAGCACCACUGGCAUGAGAAAUUGGGAGUUGUAGCAUAACUAAUAUAAUUAACUCACUGAUGGGGUAGGUGUAUGUUCCUAAUGCAUAGGUGUCCAAGACUAACAACUUUGGCUCCUUUCUUGGUAGGUACAGAUACGGCCUUUACAAUCAUCAAGCUACUAAUUCAUUUCUUCUCCCAGUUCAAUCCAUACUACAGAAAUUGAAAGAUUGUUUAAUUAAAUUAAUAUAAACCAUAUCUCUGGAAUAUUUCCUGAAGCUCUGGAAUAUCCUUGGAAUCGUUUGCAUCAAACCAUUUACAUCAGGCAAGAUAGAUGGAAAGUAUGAAUUUGCAGCCAACAAAGGGACCAUGGUAAUGUGUAUCAUUGCAACCAUUUACGUCAGCAUUCUGCUUCCUUUCAGAUUUUUACUUACUUCAUACUUACUAAAUAAGCCAGCUAUAAAACCUGCAAGAAACUUAAGAUUUCCGAGGAGGAUACUUAAUACACAUUAACAGAUUAAAAAUUGAGGGAAUAAGAACUGCUUCAUAUACUGAAGGACCAAACAGGAGGGGGGAAAUUAUAAUUUCAUGAUUUACAAGAAGCACUAAAAAGCAGAGAAGCACCAACUAGGAUUUUAUUCAAAAUCUGGUGUAAGAGAAAGCAGCCGUCCAGACUAUGAGUUCAUGUAUGUGGCACACGUUUACAUGGCUCCUAAACAAAACUUUGAUCUGUCAAUACCAAGCUGAACAUAUUUUUAACACUCUACUACCUUUGAAUUGCGCUAACAACAGCCAGUCUUUGCCUUUUCAUUUAUUUGACAGACCUCAAAGAUACGAAGAACAAAGCCACUACAUACCAUCUUGGUCUUUUGAAGAUGUUGAGCUAUGACUUAAUGUUUGGCUUUGGGUAGCGGGAGAAUCUUACGCUGGCUGUGACAACAACCAGGUGGGGAUGUGACUAUUAAUAUAUGUUGUGAAUUUCUAUGUUGACUUACAUCCAAGAAUUGUAGACAAUGUUCUGAUGUAACAGAAAGGAAUGAUCGGUGGUUGACGGCUUGCAACAGGCUGAGCUGCCCCUUUUCUUUCAUUCAUCCUUUGUAAUUUGGGUUCCUCGGUAAAUUAGAAAAAUCAAGGACCUAUGUUCAGCAGUAUGGCAACAUGCCUAUUUUAGCACUGUUUAAUUACCAUUUCUCUUCUUAUGGCAACACACUUUUGGUCUUUUGGUUGAGCAAAGAUUAAAAAUCAAAAUUGGGUGCUUCUCUGUGCUAACAAAAGUGGUCCAAAAUGAUAUCCGUGUUAAGAAAAGGGACUGAUCAAAUUUAUUGUUGGCAUGCUGGGUUAGUAAUUCUAGCAAAUUGUGUAGAAUACCUUGUUUGGUAUUAUUGUUAAUUUUCUUCUGUGUUUAUUGGUAUUCAGGUGGAUAUGACUGCAUUGAGUCGGAUGAAAGAUAAUGACCUCAAAGAUACUACAUAAGUUCAUGGUUAAUGGGAUGGUUAGUGAUUCUUGCUUCAUUCCUGACUUUUAUUACCUCUUAUGGUCAGUGGGAUGUUAGUGCUUAUAUUGUUUUAUUUUUACACUAUACUGGUUUCUGUGAUUUUGGAUGUGAGGUAAUAAGGUGUGUGAAUAUGAUUUGAUCAUGGCGUAGCGUAUUUGUUCCUGUCCAUACAAAGAGCCUUCCUCUCUUGGAGGAUUUUUUUCUUGGCUGUUGUUACGUAUGCUCAGCUUCCCUGUGAGGAAAGCAUGUGUUUAUUUUUUAUCUGUACCUAAACACCGCUCCUUGUAAUUUUUCAUGCCUGUAGUUUCUGGGAAUUUGUGCCAGCGAAUCCUAGAUUCAGAUAUAGAAAUUGAGCCUAGCGAAUCCUAUAUUUCAUUUCUAAUUUGUUUUCGGUUCUGACAGUCAUGGCAUAAAUCUUGGUUGGUCAUGGUGUUGUGCUUGUAUUCAUACAGGCAGAGGACGUAAUAGAGGUUUUCCUGUCUGCAGUUUCUUAUGCUGAACUUCUUUAUUUUAUUAUUGUUGCUCCCUCUUCCUCUUGAGCAUUUCCGCUUUAUUAUUCUUGCCUGGAUAGUCCUAAAACUUAAUUUUUAUGGUUUGAUCUCCUUAGAUCAGGUGGAAUAAUAUUUCACAUUGAUGGGUUUCCGAGGAAUAUACAAACCCAUGUUGCAUUUGAGAACAAUUUAAGUCUACUCUGUUUUUGCAUUUUGUUACAGUAAUAGACAUUCUAAGAUAAACCUUUAUCUCUUUGGUAUUUCCCUUUCUCUCUUUAAGAUAAACCUACCAAACUCUUAGUUAUUUCACAUCCCCACAGAUAAAACUGUCUCCUGGAUUUGUGCUUUUCUUUGACUAUCAGAGGAAGACAUGAGUGGAAGAAAAGCACAAAGUAUAAACUUGAUCCACUCCAAAGCCAGGAGCUCACUAAGAUAAUACCCGCAGUGUUUGCAUCUUCCUGAAUAUUGUGUCCACGGUCAACAUGGACUGUCAAUUGGACCUGAAACAAAUAGCUCUACAGGCGCGCACUGCAGGUAUAACCUCAAGUCAUCUUGCGUGCAAGAGAAGCGAAAACUACCGCAUUGGUAUUUACAUCAGGAAAAUGGUUUGCACAGGAGAAAAAAGGUGAACAUCAAUCUAAUGAUGAUAAGGAUGGUAUAAGUUGGUUCCUAAGUCAGAAGAAGCAGGGUUUAGUACCUUUAUUGCAAAAAAAAUAGUUAAAUAUGUUAUCUUUUGUAAUCAUGGCUAAGUUAAAAUAGAUACCCACUCCUUCUGAAGUUAGUCAAAAUGCUAUAAGGCAGUAAGUCCCGCUCCUUCAGAAGUUAGUUUUUUAUAUAUGUUUACAUGUUUCUAAAGGAGAAAUAUAAGAAACCCCGAUCCUUGUGAAGUUAGUUAAACAGAGGUUCUGGUCCAACAUUUUUAUAUAAGUGUUUGCUACACUGUUUGUGAUUUCGUGUACUU